UACGAAAACCCUAAACAAUUAGAUCUGAAACGAAACAGAAAAUUAAAAGAUUAGAUUUUUAAAUUUUCAGAUCUGAAAUAAAAUCCCCAAAACAGUAAAGAAUCAAAUAGAGAAUAGAAAUAAGUGUUAAUAAGGAAUCUUGAAACCCUAGAAGAGAUUGCGAUUCUGCCCAAUUGAACACCCAGAUAGUUUUCUCCAAAUUUCGGCAAUCUAAUUUCUCCCAAAAAAGAGUAUGGAUGAAUCGGCAAGAACCCUAGAAAUUGGGGAUUUUUGGGCUAAUUCCUUAAGAUAGAAAAAGGCUGAAAACACAAUAAGAACAGAAAAUAAAUUAGAUAAAGAUUCGGCACAAGCAGAAAUAAAGAAAGAAUUGACAGUAAGAAAUUAAAAGAUAAGUCCUAAGAAGCCUUGAAAUCUCGAAAGAUCUCACAACUUCCUUCAAACGGCUCUAAUCUCCCCUCCAAAGAAUAUCAAUGGCAAGAAGAAGGUUGAAG
rnacentral:lncRNA from 1 species